AUUGAACGCUGGCGGCAUGCCUUACACAUGCAAGUCGAACGGCAGCACGGGAGCAAUCCUGGUGGCGAGUGGCGAACGGGUGAGUAAAGUAUCGGAACGUGCCCAGUCGUGGGGGAUAACGUAGCGAAAGUUACGCUAAUACCGCAUACGAUCUAUGGAUGAAAGCGGGGGAUCGCAAGACCUCGCCCGAUUGGAGCGGCCGAUAACAGAUUAGGUAGUUGGUGGGGUAAAGGCUCACCAAGCCGACGAUCUGUAGCUGGUCUGAGAGGACGACCAGCCAAACUGGGACUGAGACACGGCCCAGACUCCUACGGGAGGCAGCAGUGGGGAAUUUUGGACAAUGGGCGCAAGCCUGAUCCAGCCAUGCCGCGUGCAGGAUGAAGGCCUUCGGGUUGUAAACUGCUUUUGUACGGAACGAAAAGGUUUGGCCUAAUACGCUGAACUCAUGACGGUACCGUAAGAAUAAGCACCGGCUAACUACGUGCCAGCCGCCGCCGUAA
rnacentral:rRNA from 1 species